rnacentral:rRNA from 1 species
GAGAAGCCUGCGGCGGAUUAGCUUGUUGGUAGGGUAAUGGCCUACCAAGGCGACGAUCCGUAACCGGCCUGAGAGGGCGGUCGGUCACACUGACACUGACAUACGGGUCAGACUCCUACGGGAGGCAGCAGUCGGGAAUUUUGGGCAAUGGGCGAAAGCCUGACCCAGCAACGCCGCGUGAAGGAUGAAAUCCCUCGGGAUGUAAACUUCGCAAGAAUGGGAAGAAUAAGUAGAGGCGAAUACCCUUUAUGAUGACGGUACCAUUUGUAAGCUCCGGCUAACUUCGUGCCAGCAGCCGCGGUAAUACGAGGGGAGCAAGCGUUGUUCGGAUUUACUGGGCGUAAAGGGCGCGUAGGCGGCCACGACAAGUCACUUGUGAAAUCUCCGGGCUUAACUCGGAACGGUCAAGUGAUACUGUCGGGCUAGAGUACAGAAGGGGCAACUGGAAUUCUCGGUGUAGCGGUGAAAUGCGUAGAUAUCGAGAGGAACACCUGCGGCGAAGGCGGGUUGCUGGGCUGAUACUGACGCUGAUGCGCGAAAGCCAGGGGAGCGAACGGGAUUAGAUACCCCGGUAGUCCUGGCCUUAAACGAUGAAUGCUUGGUGU